UAUUCAGUGAGUAUGGAGAGACCAUGUCCAAUGGAAACAGUCACUUUCACCUGCACCGCUGCUGGAGAUUCCUUAAGAUGGGAACCAUCAGAUGUGACUCGUAUUCUUGUCCGCUCUGAUCUCAAUGUACCAAUGACGUUAUUUGGCUACACUGUGACACUGAUUGCAGCCAAUGACACUACAUUAACAUCUAUACUCUGUCAAGAACAGCAGAGAAUGGGAUCACUGUGUCCUGUGUAGAUCCUGAGCCUACUGCGGCCCUGAUAGGAUCUUCAAUAAUCCGUUUAGCUAAUCCACCAGGACCACCUUCCAUAAUAAGACACUCCACUUUAAACACCUCAGCCAAUGAAGUCAGUGUAUCUGUACAGUGGAACCCUCCUACUGAGAAUGGUGGUAGAGAUGACCUCACCUACACAGUGACCAUAUCACCUCUGGCCCAGCUCUCUACUACUGUCCUCACAUCCACCUCUGUCACAGUGACUGCUCAAUACAAUGUGGACUACACUGUCAGUGUUGUGGCUACCAACUGUGCUGGGAACAGUACGACUGCCGAGUACAGCUUUAGGAUUGGCAGCUGUCCUGUGUUGACCAACCCCAUGAAUGGAGCCUUUGGACCAGUCGCCAGCAGAUUACCAGGAUCCACAGUAACUAUCCAGUGUGGCGAUGGGUAUGUAUCUGCUGUUACGAUGGUGACAUGUAAUAGUCAGCAGUUGUACUGUUCCCAGCACAAUUGGUAGCCACAACAGGAUCAAUGGAGUGCAAGUAAGAGUUUCUAUAGGCUUCUGGUA